GACGAACGCUGGCGGCGUGCCUAAUACAUGCAAGUCGAACGAGAGCGACCGGUGCUUGCACUGGUCAAUCUAGUGGCGAACGGGUGAGUAACACGUGGGUAACCUGCUCAUCAGAGGGGGAUAACAUCCGGAAACGGAUGCUAAAACCGCAUAGGUCUUCGAGCCGCAUGGCUUGAAGAGGAAAAGAGGCGCAAGCUUCUGCUGAUGGAUGGACCCGCGGUGCAUUAGCUAGUUGGUGAGGUAACGGCUCACCAAGGCCGUGAUGCAUAGCCGACCUGAGAGGGUGAUCGGCCACAUUGAGACUGAGACACGGCCCAAACUCCUACGGGAGGCAGCAGUAGGGAAUCUUCCGCAAUGGACGCAAGUCUGACGGAGCAACGCCGCGUGAGUGAAGAAGGUUUUCGGAUCGUAAAACUCUGUUGUUAGAGAAGAACAAGUGCUAGAGUAACUGUUAGCGCCUUGACGGUAUCUAACCAGAAAGCCACGGCUAACUACGUG
rnacentral:rRNA from 1 species